GACGAAGGGGGCUAGCGUUGUUCGGAAUUACUGGGCGUAAAGCGAGUGUAGGCGGUUAUCCGAGUCAGGUGUGAAAGCCUUGAGCUCAACUCAAGAAAUGCACUUGAUACUGGGUGACUAGAGGACCGGAGAGGAUAGUGGAAUUCCCAGUGUAGUGGUGAAAUACGUAGAGAUUGGGAAGAACACCAGUGGCGAAGGCGGCUAUCUGGACGGUUACUGACGCUAAGACUCGAAAGCGUGGGGAGCAAACAGG
rnacentral:rRNA from 1 species